UGUUAAUAUAUUUAUUUAGCCCGCUUAUUGUACUAAAAUAUACUAUACAGUACUAAAAUACGAUGCCCCGAAUCGAUCAAAGAACGAAGGAGAAAAUAAUUGAAUUGAAACGUAACACGUUCACUGUCCCAAUCUGACAUGUAAACCUUAUGGCUUUGUAAUAGAGGCUAGCCGUGGCCCCACGUGA